GGCACGGCGAGGCGCGCCACGCCACGCCAUGCCACGGCACGGCACGGCACGGCGCGAGUGAAGCCCCUUUUGGAUUGCAUCCAGCUGUAUCAUGACUCCACUAAAGACAAAUCAUACUACUGCAUGAAUAACUUCAGAGUGGAUUAUUUCUUGCAGUUCAUGUUAAUGAACGAGUGUCCAGGUCAUCCAAAUGGGCAAAUAGUUGAUGUAUUGGAGACUUGUAAAAGAAGUCAAGAUUUGAUUUCAUGUAACUGAAAUACAUCUGGAAAUUAUAUUUUUGAUACGUGUGUAAAUGCGAAGAGAGCAGUUCCUAGUGUUUGCCUCCCUACAAGCCCCUCUACCUGAUGGCCUCAGGGGCGGCGGGAGGAAGACUCUGCUUUCCCAGCCUGCCUGGUAUGUGGGAUUAGAUGCUACAGCAUUGUUCUUGCAAACAUAUGCUGCUUCAAGCAAGAAAAAUCUAUUGUGUACAAGGGGGUUGAGUAGGGUCCUCGGGAAGAUGGCUUAGUGUAAGUGUUAUGCUGAAAACAUCGUUCUCCUUGCAGGUCUUCAGGAUGACAUACUGCCUGCAGUUGGGUGCUCACUGUUGCAUGUUUUGCUGUGCUUUGGGCUGAGCAGCAUUUUCACAGAUGUCCUGUUCUCAUUACAGAAAUAUUUUAUAAGCCAUACACUGUGUACACCAAUACACAAGAAGAUUCUAGUCAUGCACAAUUUAGUGUAUGCUGGUAGUUGAUGGUCUUCCAUGUUUGCCUAUGGAAGAUACAGAUUUACUGGGAGGAGGAAAAGUGGUCUUUGUCCCCUGCUCCGUGAGCACCUGCACCUGGUUUUGUGAUGGGGAAGCAACUUUCUUACCUAGCUCUGUGCACACCUGAGGGUUUGGACUCCAAAACAGAACUUGCUAUAAAAGAGUUUUUGGUGUUUCUAUUAAGUUAAAAUGCAUGGGUAAGUAAGUGCAUGAGCCUGAUCAUCCACAGGCUCUGGUGGAGUCUCCAGAAAAGGAUGUUUGACAGAAAACGUCUUCUACUUCUCUAGCACAAUCCUUACAGGAACUCUUUAAGAACAGGGCAAGUAGCCUGCCAGCCCCUACGGGGAAAUCCAUCAGAACUGGGAGCUGUCUGCACUGAGGUUUCCUGCCUUUGCAGCAGCCAUGGCCUUGCAAAGGCUUGUUUCAUGCAGGAACAGGAAAGUGUUUGAGGGGGUCUGCAGUGUGUGUAUCGAGCUGUAGUGUCACUUUGUUCAUACACAUAAGGGUACGAGCCAGAAUAGAUCUAUAGAGGAGAACAGAAAUAAAAUUGUGGGUGUCUCUUGGAAAUAUGGACACUUAGGAGAAUAGCAGUCCUAUUCUUCUAGUGACAACAUAGAAGCAAAGUACCCAGGAGGGUCUAAGGUUUAGGAAAGGUGCUGAAUUUUGUAGGGAAUGUGAGCUGGUUUUUCUAAGUCCUUUCAUCAGUCUGGGAAACGUGUUAAAAUUUGCUUUGUUUCCUUGUGUGCCCCACAGUCUCCUUUGGUUUUGCCAUAUCGGCCUGAGUUAAAACUUCAGCUGUUGGCAAGCUGGGAAGCUGCAGACAGAAGGUGGAUGAGAAAGUGGACAGCCUUGGGGAGUGAGUGUGAAGGGAAAGGUGGCAUUGCCACCUCAGUUAAGGAAGUUCCUUUAGUCAAGAACAAUCUCAAAGGGUGCUCUACUCCUGUACUGCUCUCAGAAUCUGCCUAGUUCCAUCUUUCGUUAUUAUUUACAUUAAUAUAUAUUUGUAGUAAUGUUACUACAUAUGCACUUUAAAUAUAUAUGAUUUGCAGAGUACAAGGCUAGUGUUUCCAAACCCACUUAGGCAUUAUGCAGUAGUUUUUAACUAAUCAGACCGUCUGAGACACCAGAGAAAAGCAUUCCUAAACCAUGUUUCUAACAGUGACUUCUUCCAUUCUACUGAGCAGACACUUUGAUUCAAUGGAGUUUCACCGGGUAUGAAGGUUUGUUGCAGGUUUCAUCAUUUCUUGUAACAGGAUAUGCCGUCUUUGUGAGGAUAUUCUACAGAACAAUCCGUUCAUGUGUGCACAAAGAACUGUAAAGUGUCAAGUGGUAUAUGAUGUUAAACAUGAUGCAUAACAGUUUUAUUACUGCUAAUUGUUUUUAGAGAAGUCUCCAAGAGAUCAUCCUGUUUUCUGAAUAUAACUGGUGAAUAUUCUUGAAUGUCUAGUGAUGUUCUCUUGAAAAAAAGCUGGAAAAGAUUGCCAAGAAGCUAAGUGAGGCAGUUAGGCAUUGUCUUUGUCUUAAAAAAUGACCCAAGUAACAACAAGUGGCAUCGUAUUACCUUUCCUUUUGGGGAUUGUGGUGGAUAUUGGAGCCCCAGAGACUUUCCAACAUCAAUUCACCUGAUAAUGCAUUUGGACUUGUUUGGAUCCUUUGGGAUAAUUAAUUUACCCUGUUGGUUACAAAGUGUAAAGUCAACUUACAAGAGAAAAUAAAGAACAGAAAGGACCUUCUGGAGUAUACAUAAUACGAAUUCAGUGUGUUUUGUGUUCCUUUCUCUUUUUGCCUUAGAGACCCUAUAGUCUCAAUUUCUAAAUGAGUUCCUGAGGCACUGGGAUUACUAAUUCACCCUCAGGUCUUAAAUCAAUGGGACUUUUGCCUCCAGCUCCUCAGGUGAAGGACAUGAAGUAAGAAUAUGACUACAGUAUGCACCCUAAUCCAAUAAAGAAAAGGAAAGCCUCAUGGGUAGAAAAGGCAGCAACUACACAUCAUGGGAUAGCAUCCAGCCUUAGGAUUACUUGCAAAACUACUUUCUCCAUUGUGUGCUGCCAACAAAGACAUUUGAUCUUUGAUCUUACCUGCUCAUAAGAUCAUUGCAUGCCUGAACUGACAGUAAUCGAAGGAGGUGUAUUCGUGGCUGCGUUUUGGAAGUGCAGAGCCAGGAUCUGUAUUCCUGACUUCAGAGGAGUUGUACAGAGCAUGACAGAAACAGAAUGCAUCCUUUGGGAAUACUUUAAAAUAGGUAUGUGCGUGAAUCUUUCUCAUCCAUGUGAUUGCUUGGUUGUAUCGAAAAGACAAAUUGGCCUUUUUUUUUGUUUUUUCUUUUUGCAAGUCUUCUCUGGAAACUAUGUGAAGGUUUAUACUAUUGUUAAAAGUACUAGUCACGUCCAUGUUCUGUGUUUUGUCUGCAGCUUUAGGGAAAAAAAGGAGAAAACCCAAACAACUUGGCACUAAAAAAGCACCUUUCCUGUGUUGUUCUCAGGAUACCUAAUGAACAGUAAAUUGAAACACUAAAAAGUCUCCCUUAUCCUUCUCAUAAUCAUCAUCUGCUUUAUAAAAUUAAGGAAGAGAGAACUGAUGUCUCGCUGGUGAUUUUAAUACAAAUUUUUCUGUUACCAUUAGUGGUAAAAGAAACACAGAUAGUUCAUCUCUGAAAGAUUAGAAAAGACUUUUCUCUUUUGGGUGUAUUCUUUACAAUGGAAGAAACAUUGGAUACAGUUCUUUACCUGCCAACAUCAGUUGGAAUUUGCUGCUGGCUUCUGUGAGGACAAGAUUUCCUCCUGUGUGCUAUAAAUUAGUCAAUUUUCUUUGUAUUGUCACUUACUACUGGGUUUCCCUGUUUGUGAGGAUCUAGCAAGCCUGUUAGGAGCAUGAACACAUUUUAUGGAGUGUUACCUUAUCAGAAGAGAUCACAAUAGUUAAAGUCAUGUUAGGAUCAGAAUCUGGAAGUAUUUAAUUUGCUUUCAGAACCCAGAUCAAUGUUUAAUUGGGCAUACUGUGCUGUGCAUGCAGUGCAUAAACUUGCAAAUGAGAGCUGUAAGUCAUGUAUUGGAACCAAAACUUCCUCUAUGCUUUUUUUUUUUUUUUUUUUUUUUCCCCUCAGUAAUACAUGAUAAAACUUCAGUUGUAGUGGAAAAAGACUUUCCACUUCAGUCAAAUGUGGGACAGAAGUGGCUUCAAAAUACAGCCUUGUCCAUUUUGCAACUGUGUGACUACUUCCACUUUUUUAUAUUUAUCUUUAGAAGUGAGAUACUCUUUAGAAUAUCGUACCCUCAUGUGACAUCAAUUCUAUAUGCUUAGUAAUGAACAAAAUAUAAAUUGAUCUCCUUGAUACCGCAAGACUUAUUUUCAGUAUACAUAGGCUGGAGCACAUUCUGAUGGGUUUUUCCUGUGAGGCUUACGUCUGUUACUACAAGCAUUCAUUAUAAUUCCUCCGGAAGUAUCGUUUGUAAAGUUUUCCAGUGGAAAAAAGAGGAAUUUGAAGUUUGUUUGCCUUUUUUUUUUUUUCAAUGUACACUCAUGAUUAAAAGUGUAUGUGUUUGCCUUUGUGGAAGUACACAUGCAUAUUGGGAAAUCUAACAUUUGUGUUCCAAAAGCUCUGUAUAUCAAGUGGAGGAGGAUAUUAAUAUUUGUGUUCUUCUUUGCAAAGGAUGAAAAAUGACAGUGUGUGUUAAAAAUAAGGAAUAGAAUUCAUUAAACAUGUUAAAACUUCA